rnacentral:rRNA from 1 species
UACGGAGGAUGCAAGCGUUAUCCGGAAUGAUGGGGCGUAAAGCGUCCGCAGGUGGCAAUGUAAGUCUGCUGUCAAAGCGUCUGGCUCAACCAGAUAAAGGCAGUGGAAACUACAUAGCUAGAGUAAGGUAGGGGUAGAGGGAAUUCCUGGUGUAGCGGUGAAAUGCGUAGAGAUCAGGAAGAACACCGGUGGCGAAAGCGCUCUGCUGGACCUUAACUGACACUGAGGGACGAAAGCUAGGGGAGCGAAUGGG